rnacentral:rRNA from 1 species
GAUGAACGCUGGUGGCGUGCCUAACACAUGCAAGUCGAGCGAUUCUCUUCGGAGAAGAGCGGCGGACGGGUGAGUAACGCGUGGGUAACCUGCCCUGUACACACGGAUAACAUACCGAAAGGUAUGCUAAUACGAGAUAACAUGCUUUUAUCGCAUGGUAGAAGUAUCAAAGCUUUUGCGGUACAGGAUGGACCCGCGUCUGAUUAGCUAGUUGGUGAGGUAACGGCUCACCAAGGCGACGAUCAGUAGCCGACCUGAGAGGGUGAUCGGCCACAUUGGAACUGAGACACGGUCCAAACUCCUACGAGAGGCAGCAGUGGGGAAUAUUGCACAAUGGGCGAAAGCCUGAUGCAGCAACGCCGCGUGAGUGAUGAAGGCCUUCGGGUCGUAAAGCUCUGUCCUCAAGGAAGAUAAUGACGGUACUUGAGGAGGAAGCCCCGGCUAACUACGUG